UACGGGGGGGGCAAGCGUUGUUCGGAAUUACUGGGCGUAAAGGGUGCGUAGGCGGCUUUCUAAGUCGGAUGUGAAAACUCUGGGCUCAACCCAGAGCCUGCAUCCGAAACUGGAAGGCUAGGGUGCUGGAGGGGAAAGCGGAAUUCCUGGUGUAGCGGUGAAAUGCGUAGAUAUCAGGAGGAACACCGGUGGCGAAGGCGGCUUUCUGGACAGUAACCGACGCUGAGUGCACGAAAGCUAGGGGAGCAAACAGG
rnacentral:rRNA from 1 species